CAGUCUCUAGGGUUCAUCGGUUCCGGGGUGUCGUUGCUCUGCUUGAACUUCGCAAAGUCACCCGAAAUCGCUCCUGUAUUGCUGACAGCAGCCCUGAGCUUGAGUUCUUUCAGCCAAGCUGGUUUUCUUCUCAACAUGCAAGACAUUGCACCUCAAUAUGCAGGAUUUCUCCACGGCAUAUCAAAUUCAGCUGGGACACUGGCCGCCAUUAUCAGCACCAUCGGAACCGG